rnacentral:rRNA from 1 species
AUUGAACGCUGGCGGAAUGCUUUACACAUGCAAGUCGAACGGCAGCACGGGGGCAGUCCUGGUGGCGCGUGGCGAACGGGUGAGUAAUACAUCGGAACGUGCCCGGUCGUGGGGGAUAACGUAGCGAAAGUUACGCUAAUACCGCAUACGAUCUGAGGAUGAAAGCGGGGGACCUUCGGGCCUCGCGCGAUCGGAGCGGCCGAUGUCAGAUUAGGUAGUUGGUGGGGUAAAGGCCUACCAAGCCGACGAUCUGUAGCUGGUCUGAGAGGACGACCAGCCACACUGGAACUGAGACACGGCCCAGACUCCUACGGGAGGCAGCAGUGGGGAAUUUUGGACAAUGGGCGCAAGCCUGAUCCAGCCAUUCCGCGUGCAGGACGAAGGCCUUCGGGUUGUAAACUGCUUUUGUACGGAACGAAAAGGCUCUGGCUAAUACCUGGGGCUCAUGACGGUACCGUAAGAAUAAGCACCGGCUAACUACGUG